ACAGCUUUCGCUACCACUAAAUUAUCUAAUCCAACACAUGUAAAUCGAAACUUAUUCUCUUUUUGUCUCUUCUUGUCUGAUUCUCUCUUCUUCUCCGGCGGCAAAACUCAGCCAAUCAUCGGGAUCAGUAAUUCUGGUGAGGAGGACAAAGCUUUCAAUCCAACAACAAUUUCCACUACUUAGAGCUAAAGCCCAAACAUGAAUUGCAAUUUCCUCCAGAUCGGAAAUUCAGAAGAGGGUCAGGUAUUCAAGGUCGGGAAUUCUGAGAGAUGGAUUUCGGGAACAGAGAGAAAAACUCACGCGCAACCUGAGAUCAUCUACGCUCCCAUCUUUCAAAAUUGAUCGCUUAGAGCAACUUCUCAAAAUUUAUUUAAAAUCCAUGCUCAUGUCUCUCUCUUACUUUUUAUUAUUUUUAUUUUUUAUAUUCUUGAGAACACUUGUGAGAACUUUCCACUGCACAUGCUCUUAGCUUCUGUCGCCUCGUAACUUAUAUACCCACAUUUUUAUGGCCGGUUUUGGGCCCUUUGGAGAUAUUAAUAUGCUUCAUAGUACAAAUUAAAACAACAUCAAAGAUUCUAUUUUAGGCUGCAGUUUUCUGUUUCGAAUCGAUUUGGUUUUUAGUAGUUUUAAGGGUUCGAUUGUCUCUGUUAGACCUUGGCACUUCGGUCGGUUCCGAUUCAUUCGAUUGUCGCUGUUUCUACUUUCUAAGCAAUGUACAUCAUCUUAAUUAAGGCUUUA